rnacentral:rRNA from 1 species
UGGGGAAUUUUGGACAAUGGGCGAAAGCCUGAUCCAGCCAUGCCGCGUGAGUGAAGAAGGCCUUCGGGUUGUAAAGCUCUUUUAGUCGGAAAGAAAGAGUUGCAAUGAAUAAUUGUGAUUUAUGACGGUACCGACAGAAAAAGCACCGGCUAACUACGUGCCAGCAGCCGCGGGAAUACGUAGGGUGCGAGCGUUAAUCGGAAUUACUGGGCGUAAAGGGUGCGCAGGCGGUCUUGCAAGUCAGAUGUGAAAGCCCCGGGCUUAACCUGGGAAUUGCGUUUGAAACUACAAGGCUAGAGUGCAGCAGAGGGGAGUGGAAUUCCAUGUGUAGCAGUGAAAUGCGUAGAGAUGUGGAAGACCACCGAUGGCGAAGGCAGCUCCCUGGGUUGACACUGACGCUCAUGCACGAAAGCGUGGGGAGCAAACA